GCCUCUGUAGCUCAGUUUUUUUAGAGCGCUGCACCGGAAUCGCAGGGCAGUAGGUUCAAUUCCUACCAGAGGAC
rnacentral:tRNA from 1 species